rnacentral:rRNA from 1 species
UACGUAGGGUGCGAGCGUUGUCCGGAAUUAUUGGGCGUAAAGAGCUCGUAGGCGGCUUGUCGCGUCGGAUGUGAAAGCCCGGGGCUUAACUUCGGGUCUGCAUUCGAUACGGGCAGGCUAGAGUUCGGUAGGGGAGAUCGGAAUUCCUGGUGUAGCGGUGAAAUGCGCAGAUAUCAGGAAGAACACCGGUGGCGAAGGCGGCUAUCUGGUCCGUUACUGACGCUGAGAAGCGAAAGCAUGGGGAGCGAACAGG